rnacentral:rRNA from 1 species
CACUGUUGCUGAGAAGUUGAUCAAACUUGGUCAUUUAGAGGAAGUAAAAGUCGUAACAAGGUUUCCGUAGGUGAACCUGCGGAAGGAUCAUUACUGAAUUGUCAACACGAGUUGCUGCUGGUCCUCAAAUGGGGGCAUGUGCACACUCUGUUCACACAUCCACUCACACCUGUGCACCCUCUGUAGUUCUAUGGUUUGGGGGACUCUUUCCCCGUUCUGUGGUUCUAUGUCUUUACACACACUCUGUUAUGAAGUCUCAUGGAAUGUAUGCCGCGUUUAACGCAAUACAAUACAACUUUCAGCAACGGAUCUCUUGGCUCUCGCAUCGAUGAAGAACGCAGCGAAAUGCGAUAAGUAAUGUGAAUUGCAGAAUUCAGUGAAUCAUCGAAUCUUUGAACGCACCUUGCGCCCUUUGGCUAUUCCGAAGGGCAUGCCUGUUUGAGUAUCAUGAACACCUCAACUCUCAUGGCUUGCCAUGAUGAGCUUGGAUUUUGGGGGUCUUGCUGGCCUAUGGUCAGCUCCUCUCAAAUGAAUCAGCUUUCCAGUGUUUGGUGGCAUCACAAGUGUGAUAACUAUCUACGCUUGUGGUUUCCUGCCAGGUAACCUUCAGUGAUGGGGGUUCGCUGGGGCUCAUAAAUGUCUCUCCUCAGUGAAGACAUGUUUUUUAAUGUUUGAUCUCAAAUCAGGUAGGACUACCCGCUGAACUUAAGCAUAUCAAUAAGCGGAGGAAAAGAAACUAACAAGGAUUCCCCUAGUAACUGCGAGUGAAGCGGGAAGAGCUCAAAUUUAAAAUCUGGCGUGCCUCUGGUCGUCCGAGUUGUAGUCUGGAGAAGCGUCUUCCGUGUUGGACCGUGUAUAAGUCUCUUGGAACAGGGCGUCAUAGAGGGUGAGAAUCCCGUCUUUGACACGGACUACCAAUGCUUUGUGAGGCGCUCUCAAAGAGUCGAGUGU